rnacentral:tRNA from 1 species
GCCUGAUUAGCUCAAACGGUAGAGCGUGAGAAUUCUUGACCUCGAGUUUGCGGGUUUGACUCCCGCUGCGGGCA